rnacentral:lncRNA from 1 species
ACAGUGUAGGAGAGGAAACAAAUGUAUCUCAGAGUGUAAAUGGAGGUCACAGUGGUGAGUGAGUGCUCAGUGUGGGAACUGGGAGCAGUGGGGAGCAGAGACCUGCAGCUGUAGAAACCCCACAGCUCCCAGAACAGCUCCUAGGGAAGGAAGGGACUCUCCAGCCCAGCGUGUAUGGAUGUGAAAAUACUUAAUUAUGGCUGCUUUUACUCUGUUGCUGUUUUCUUCCUCAGAAAAAUUCUCUUUUAGUUCCCAGAUAGGAAGGCAUUAUGUUGCUGCUGUCACUGGCUACCCUCAUGCCAUCUCAAGCACCUUCGGAUGAGUGGCCUUCCUCUCCCUUGACUGACCCUUGACUGGAAAUAGUGACUGGAGGGAGAGGCAGUGAGUAAAUCUCAUGUGGUACCUGUGAGGCUUUAGAGGCCUUCAGCAUGGGAGAGGCAAGUGCCUAUGCAGCACCCUGAGAGCUGACUGUUUCAGUAGUGCCAAACUGAUGUUUGUUCAGCUGUGUCUGACAAGGAAAUUUGUUUUUACCUCUAGCUUCUGUUUGCUUUGGUUUCUUCUACUUUACUGGCAUUUCUUGGAUGUUUGUUUUGACUCCUCUUCCCAUUUUUUCUGAACUCAAGGGUCUCCAUGUGCUUUCCAUGUGGUGACUUCCAGAGAGCAGGAGGGUGACCGCCGCCUGUGUCCUCUGCACAUGUCCUCACACAGGCCAUGACCAAGCUCCCCCAAAGAUGGCCAAGCCUUUCUGAGUGGUACCCUAGGAGAAGCAGAUCACUGCAUCACAACGGUUGCCAUGCUGGGAUAGGCCCAUGCAGAAAUGGGUGUGGAUGCACACUGGUCACUUCUAGGCACCCACAGCUGAGGACUUGCUCACAGCAUGAACACUAGGAAGUUAAAGAAGAUCUGGAGGUACUGGAAAAGAAAUCCCAUAGGAUACAUACAACAUUUGACACACAAGAAAAAGCAAAGUCAGGGAAGCACAGGAAGCUUGCAAAGCAGAUCAAUAAGAAUGUACAUUUUGAGGUGCCCUCCACCGUCCCCCCUGCCAAAAAAACAGAUUCAAUCACCUGCCAUAAAUAACCGUCAUGCCAAGAUAGAAGUUUGCUUUUGAAUAAGAUUUUGCUAAGACACUGAACUGACUGAACUGUUUUAUUAUUGCUUGAAAAAGAC